GAGGGAGGGGCCACGGCCUGAGGUGGGAACUCCGUGGGCCCUGCUGAGAUGCUUGCAGGAAGGGUCUAGGAACCUUGGGGAGGCUUAAGGGCGUCCCGUCUGUCCGUGUUCUCAGCUGGUAGUUUGCCAUUCAUCAAAGAUGGAUGAAACUUCUUCAAACUAGGAGCCAGUGUUUGGUUACAUCUGCACCACUGAGGGAUGGAUGGCUUUGUGUUAUAGUGGCAUUGAACUUUCUGAAUUUCGUUCACAAUUUGUUGCCACUUUUUGAUUCCUUUAUUUAAAGGAUGACGCACGAGCAACUUUAUCCUCAUGAAACUUUUGGUGAAUUAUAAUUUUUGAGAAAACAGUUUACAAAUAGAAAGAUCUUAAAUGUCGCUUUAAAGGAGAAUCAGAACAAAAUAGACAAUGAUAUCUCACAUUUUAAAAUUUGAUUUUUGGCUUACUCUAUUUUCACCUUGGAAUGUAUUGAAUUGCACAAAGAUGUUUGAUGGUGUACUUACUUUAAUUAAAAUUUUAUGUUCCGUAUCAAAAGAAAGUCUUUGAAUUUGCAGUCUUGACAUUUGGUGAAACCUUGAAAACAAUCACAGAAAGAGACAAUGCAGUUGUUGAUUUUUUUUUUCUGAUUAAAAUAGAGGCCAAUAAUGGUUCCUUAAAAAAAUUUUUUUUUUGGUUGAAAUGCACUUAUGCAUUUGAGGAUAAGAGCAGCAGAAGAUGCAGGAAGCCUUCGUGCAUCUAAGAAGGGCAUGUGUGCAAAGUGUUGGGAGAGGAGAGGUAAUGUAUGCCCUACUCAUGACAUCAAAGCAUGGUUCCUCUCAAGGCGGUGACUGGAAACUCUGGAGGGCCAUGUCAUAUUGGAGGCUCAGUGCUGACUUCUGUUUCUGGAGACUGGUUAAUCACGAACAGCAAUAAUGAACUAAGAUGUUAAAGAGGAGGCCACACGUGCAGCAUGUCAGCUCUGAAGAGCCAGGCCUGAGCAGCUGAUUGACAGGCACUGAGUGUGCUACAGUCCCUUACCCAACUACCAGAAAUCUCCUCCAUCACUGAUGUCAGAUGUGUCUGUGGGAUGCAGACAUGUUCUUGCUCUGUGCUCAUUCUGAAAGGACCACCCACACACCUCCACCCUGCACUUCUUUGUCAUCUAUUCUUUGAGCAGACAGACAAAUGAGUCAUUAUGGAUUCGUUCCCCAGGCCAUUUCUCCUUCUUCAUGAAGUGUGUGACCGGAUGUACCACUCAAUAUUCUACCCACAAGGCUGAUGAAGAAAACCACCACUUGACACGAGUGAUCACUAGGAGAGAGGGAGAAAAGAAUGUGACAGGUUGUAGAAUCUGAAGCUUCUGCUAGAGAAUGACAUCACCUCUGCUGGAGAAUGACAUCACCUCUGCUGGAGAAUGACAUCAUCUCUGCUGGAGAAUGACAUCACCUCUGCUGGAGAAUGACAUCACCUCUGCUGGAGAGUGACAUCACCUCUGCUGGAGAAUGACAUCACCUCUGCGGACAUUUCCUUGGUUGCCAAACAUCUUUUAUAAAAGAUGCUCUUCCAAGAGACUGAAGUCCACUGAAGUACUGAUAGACCCCCCGAUGAGCAGAGGGGAUGGAUAAAAAGAAAGCAUUGUGUAGAAGCACAGUGGAAUACUGUUCACCUACAAAUGAGGGGAAUUCUGUCAUCUGCAAUAACAUGAGUGAACUUGGAGAACACCCUGCUAAGUGUGUUCAGGGAGUGGCACUAUUAGGAGGUGUGGCCUCGCUGGAGUAGGUGUGGCCUUGUUGGAGUAGGUGUGUCACUGUGGGCAUGGGCAUGGCCUUGUCCUAGAUGCCCAGAAGCCAGUCUUCUCCUGUCUGUCUUCAGAUGAAGAUGUAGAACUCUCAGCUUUGCCUGCACUAUGCCUGCUUGGACACUGCCAUGUUCCUGCCUUGAUACUGGACUGAACCUCUGAACCUGUUAGCCAGCCUCAAUUAAAUGC
ensembl:lincRNA Gm36447 predicted gene, 36447